CAGGCUCGGCGCGACGUGGAGGCUUGGAGGCGGCGGCGAUGCACUAGGCCUCGCUCUGGGGCGGCUGCCCGGGACCCGCAGUUGAGUGGUGAUUUUAUGCAAUGGCUUCAAGCCACAGUUCUUCACCAGUGCCUCAAGGAAGCAGCAGUGAUGUUUUCUUUAAAAAAGAGGUAGACCCGACAAAACACGUUCGACCUGUGCAGUCACUGCCAGAUGUGUGUCCCAAGGAACCCACAGGUGAUUCAAAUAGUUUAUGUGUUGCCCCAUCUCUAGUUACAGAUCAACAUAGAUGGACUAUAUAUCAUUCCAAAGUAAAUCUCCCAGCAGCAUUAAAUGAUCCUAGAUUAGCAAAAAGAGAAUCUGACUUCUUCACAAAAACAUGGGGAUUGGACUUUGUGGACACUGAAGUCAUACCUUCAUUCUACCUCCCACAGAUCAGCAAGGAACAUUUUACAGUAUAUCAACAGGAAAUCUCUCAGAGAGAGAAGAUUCACGAGAGAUGCAAGAAUAUUUGUCCCCCUAAAGAUACCUUUGACAGAACUCUCUUACAUACUCAUGAUAAAUCCAGGACAGAUCUGGAGCAAGUACCUAAGAUUUUUAUGAAACCAGAUUUUGCCUUGGACGAUUCCUUAACUUUUAAUUCAGUUUUACCAUGGUCUCAUUUUAAUACUGCUGGUGGAAAAGGAAAUCGUGAUGCAGCUUCCUCAAAGUUGCUACAAGAAAAGCUGAGCCAUUAUCUGGAUAUUGUGGAAGUAAACAUUGCUCACCAGAUCUCUCUACGUUCAGAAGCAUUUUUUCAUGCAAUGACCUCUCAACACGAAUUGCAGGACUACCUCAAGAAAACUUCCCAGGCUGUAAAAAUGCUUCGAGAUAAAAUUGCACAGAUUGAUAAAGUAAUGUGUGAAGGAUCACUACACAUUUUAAGACUGGCACUUACCAGAAAUAAUUGUGUUAAAGUAUAUAAUAAACUGAAAUUAAUGGCCACUGUACACCAGACUCAGCCUACAGUACAGGUGUUGUUAUCUACUUCUGAAUUUGUUGGAGCAUUGGACUUAAUAGCAACAACACAAGAGGUUCUACAGCAGGAACUUCAGGGCAUUCAUAGCUUCCGGCAUUUGGGAUCACAGCUUUGUGAAUUAGAAAAACUGAUAGAUAAAAUGAUGAUUGCAGAAUUUUCUACUUAUUCUCACAGUGACUUAAAUAGACCAUUGGAAGAUGACUGUCAAAUUUUAGAAGAGGAAAGACUAAUCUCUCUUGUGUUUGGACUUUUAAAACAAAGAAAACUUAAUUUUUUAGAAAUAUAUAGUGAAGAAAUGAUUAUUACAGCAAAGAAUAUCAUUAAACAGUGUGUGAUUAAUAAAGUUUCACAAAUAGAAGAUAUAGACACAGAUGUUGUUUUGAAGCUUGCAGAUCAGAUGAGAAUGUUGAAUUUUCCUCAGUGGUUUGAUUUACUAACGGAUAUUUUCUCCAAGUUUACAAUUUUCCUACAGAGAGUUAAGGCAACCUUAAAUAUCAUUCAUAGUGUUGUUCUCUCAGUUCUUGACAAAAACCAAAGGACUAGAGAAUUGGAAGAGAUUUCACAACAGAAAAAUGCUGCAAAAGAUAAUUCACUAGACACAGAAGUGGCUUAUUUAAUCCAUGAAGGCAUGUUUAUAAGUGAUGCAUUCAGUGAGAGUGAAUUAACACCUAUAGCCAUAGAUUCUACCUCUCAAAGAAAUGCAUCUCCAAAUAGUGAGCCCUGCAGCAGUGAUUCUGUAUCUGAACCAGAAUGUACUACUGAUUCUUCAUCCAGCAAAGAGCAGAUAUCAUCAUCUGUUACUCCAGGAGCUGUGGAUAUUAUGGUCAAUGAAGAUGUGAAAUUAACUGACUUAGAGCUAGGAAAGCUGGCAAAUAAUAUCCAGGAGUUAUUAUAUAGUGCCUCAGAUAUAUGCCAUGAUCGAGCCGUCAAAUUUCUCAUGUCAAGAGCUAAGGAUGGUUUUCUUGAGAAGCUAAAUUCCACGGAAUUCAUAUCACUUUCCAGAUUAAUGGAAACAUUCAUUUUAGAAACUGAACAGAUAUGUGGAAGAAAAAGCAUGUCAUUACUUGGAGCACUUCAGAGCCAAGCAAAUAAAUUUGUAAAUAGGUUUCAUGAAGAGAGAAAAACCAAACUCAGCCUUCUCUUAGACAAUGAACGCUGGAAGCAAGCUGAUGUUCCUGCAGAAUUUCAGGAUCUUGUUGAUUCUAUAUCAGAUGGAAAGAUUGCUUUACCUGAAAAAAAAUCAGGGGCUACAGAAGAUAGAAAACCAGCUGAAGUUCUUACUGUUGAGGGGCAACAGUAUGCUGUAGUUGGAACUGUAUUGCUGUUGAUAAGAAUUAUCCUUGAAUAUUGCCAGUGUGUGGAUAAUAUCCCAUCUGUUACUACUGACAUGCUCACUCGUCUAUCAGACUUAUUGAAGGUGCUGAACAUGACUGAGGCCACUUAGGUCAAAAAACCUGGACUGGUUUCAAAUGUGCAUGGAAGGAAUUCACUGAACUUUACAAAAUUCAUCUCACUAAGUACUUCAAUUCAAGAAGUUGCCAGUUAGUUCUUGGAGCUGGUGCACUGCAAGUUGUUGGACUAAAAACAAUAACUACAAAAAAUCUGGCUCUUUCUUCACGCUGUUUGCAGUUAAUUGUGCACUACAUUCCUGUGAUCCGGGCUCAUUUUGAAGCUCGACUGCAACCUAAGCAAUACAGUAUGCUUAGGCAUUUUGAUCAUAUCACUAAGGACUACCAUGACCACAUAGCUGAAAUAUCAGCUAAGCUUGUAGCGAUAAUGGAUAGCUUAUUUGACAAGCUGUUAUCUAAGUAUGAAGUGAAAGCUCCCGUUCCUUCUGCCUGUUUCAGGAAUAUUUGUAAGCAAAUGGCAAAAAUGCAUGAAGCUAUAUUUGAUCUCCUUCCUGAAGAACAAACGCAAAUGUUAUUUUUAAGAAUUAAUGCAAGUUACAAACUCCACUUGAAAAAGCAGUUAUCUCACUUAAAUGUGAUAAAUGAUGGAGGACCUCAAAAUGGGUUGGUCACAGCAGAUGUAGCUUUUUACACUGGAAAUCUUCAAGCCUUAAAAGGCCUUAAAGAUUUGGACCUAAAUAUGGCCGAGAUAUGGGAACAGAAAAGGUGAUGACAUACUGGAAAACUGGGCAGUUCAUCUGACCAGGGGAUGUGUGUUUAUGAUGGAAACAUGGACGCCUGUGACUGAAGAACUGAAUCUGGAGCCCACAGUGAACCGGGAUUGGGGAAGGGGAAAAGGAGUGUGUCAGUGUUGGGAAACUGGGAUUCAGUGGGAUCUACAAGGAAUGCCAUUUGUGUGCUUCCUUCAGUGAGGAGUAACUGAUCAGGUGUCUAUAACAUUUUUCAUUCUCUCUGGAAACAGACUCAGGUUUCUUUGGACCAAAUCCAAAAGAACACAUAGCUGUAACACAGCUGUAGUUGACUAGAAUGCUCUGUAUACUUUAUAUUAAAAAAUGCUUUGCAUUUCUUCCAGUGCAAUGAAAUUCAUACGGUGUCCCACUUUAUUUAAUGAUGGUACAAUUUAAAAUAUUAAAAUCUUACUCAACCUCUGUAGAAAGUUUUCUCUAUGAAAGUAAAGCUGUUUGAAAAUUAUUUUUUUACAGAUCUUUCUAUAAAAAAUAAACAUCUUUUAAUUGCUUGGAUUUAGGAAUUCAGUUUUUGUUUUAGUGACCAAUGUUAAGUUUCAGGCUUUGUGUGUUGCAAAUUUAAUCUUUUUAUCACCGCUGUAUGUCAGCUGCAUAAAAGCCUUCCAGAAUAGUCUAAAUACUUGAAAGGCUGAUCACAAGUAAUAAUAAAAGAGUAAGAUUUUGGUGUUUAUUUAUGCAACUAUUAAUUUAAAUACUUAUCAGAUGUGGUAUAUGAAAGCCUGCAGUUUAACAGCUGUAUUUUUAUAAAAGCAUCUAUGAAGGGUUGGGGUGUUUUUUUCCUUUUUAUUUUUAGAGGCAAGAAUACAUUUUCAUAUAUUCUGCCUAAUCUUGAGUUCUCAUUUUAACAUUUAGAUAACAUUGAAGUAUGCCCCCCCUUGGGUUCUUGUUUGUAAGUUACUUUCAGUGUGUAUAUGAACAAAGACCAGGGAUAGAUAGAACUUUUAAAAUAGAGGCUGCUGUGUUGGGGCCAGAAAUAUAAGGUGAUGAGUAAAUUAUUUAAAUUAAAGACUUUUAUAAUACCUACCUUCAAAAUUAGAACUAAAUGAAAGUGCCUGUGCCUCACUUCACACCAGGAACCUUGCCUAACCCUGUCAGAGUGCCUAACCUUGUGGUGAUUAUGUACAAUGAAAUAGUCUUAUUUUGUGCUCUUUGGUUUCCUAAAAGGAAAGUCUGUUUUCUUUCCUUUAUCCUUAUUACAGAGGUAUGUCAUUGGUUCUUAAACUGUCUGUCUAAAAUAAAGCUGUAAAAAAUUAUCA